CAUUGUUUUUCCGUAAGCCAGGGAUCGUGUAUUCGAGCACGAUUUAUCUGCAGUAAACAAUACAAACUCUACCAUCCCGCAUUUUUAACUAAAUUUCAGCUUGUAAAAAGUGCACUUGCCUAUUGAUAACAAGUCACUAGCAAGAACGGUCAUUUCAUCGUUAAUAUAAGUUCAAAAGCAUAGAAUGGGUUCUAUCCCAACAGUCAGCCAACAUUAUGCUCGGCUAAUAUCGAGACGAAUGCGCAAAGAAAAUCUAGAAAGUGUCAUGGUCUCAGAAACUACACAGGAAAACAAAAUCAAUGAACAUGAAUAUCUAACAAGAACGACUUCUCCAAGACCCAGGAGUGUUUGGGACUUGAAUAAAUGGUUAUUGCCUAGAGGCCAUCUUGGUGUUUUAAUGGCGAAAACUUCAAACCUUCCGCAGCCCCCGUUGUAUGUUGAAGUCAACUUUCCAGAAGAAUAAACUUUUAGGUCCGAGAAUGAGAAAAAGAUGAAUACAAUUGGGAGCAGCACCUGUAAAUCCCCCCUGAGGAAGAGGAAACAGUGUUGGACCAAGGAGUGGCAUGAGACAAUCCCCUAACAGUUAGGAGGUCCUUGUUACCCUGGUUUGACCAGGAUAAAAUCUUGUGCCACAACAAGAAAUCACAAAAUGAAACACACAUGGAUGAUAUGUUGGCUAUGAAAAUUCCACAUGCACAAACAAAAGUGUAGUCAAAAUGUGGAAAAAAGCAUCUAUAAAUGUUAUUAUCAGGGAUGUGGUAUUAAAUAUUGUAAAAAAGAUGUGUGUAAAAUAAUCAAGAAAUAUUUUGUUCAAUUAUGUAAUGUAUAUAUCUUUUUUUUUUAUAAAUUGUAUAUAGGGAUACCUGAAUAAAUCUUAGAAAAAUUGAA